rnacentral:tRNA from 1 species
GAUGGCUAGCUCAGGGGUAGAGCACCGGACCGUGAAUCCGAAUGCCGUGGGUUCGAAUCCCGCGCCAUCACCA